UACGUAGGGGGCAAGCGUUGUCCGGAGUUAUUGGGCGUAAAGAGCGUGUAGGCGGUCCGGUAAGUCAGCUGUGAAAGUCAAGGGCUCAACCCUUGAAUGCCGGUUGAUACUGUCGGGCUAGAGUCCGGAAGAGGCGAGUGGAAUUCCCGGUGUAGCGGUGAAAUGCGCAGAUAUCGGGAGGAACACCAAUGGCGAAGGCAGCUCGCUGGGACGUGACUGACGCUGAGACGCGAAAGCGUGGGGAGCGAACAGG
rnacentral:rRNA from 1 species